UACGUAGGGGGCUAGCGUUGUUCGGAAUUACUGGGCGUAAAGCGCGUGUAGGCGGUUGCCCAAGUCGGGUGUGAAAGCCUUGAGCUCAACUCAAGAAAUGCACUCGGUACUGGGUGACUAGAGGACCGGAGAGGAUAGUGGAAUUCCCAGUGUAGUGGUGAAAUACGUAGAGAUUGGGAAGAACACCAGUGGCGAAGGCGGCUAUCUGGACGGUGACUGACGCUGAGACGCGAAAGCGUGGGGAGCAAACAGG
rnacentral:rRNA from 1 species